UACGUAGGGUGCGAGCGUUGUCCGGAAUUAUUGGGCGUAAAGAGCUCGUAGGCGGUUUGUCGCGUCUGUCGUGAAAGCUUGGGGCUUAACCCCAAGUCUGCGGUGGAUACGGGCAGACUAGAGGCAGGUAGGGGAGAACGGAAUUCCCGGUGUAGCGGUGAAAUGCGCAGAUAUCGGGAGGAACACCGGUGACGAAGGCGGUUCUCUGGGCCUGUACUGACGCUGAGGAGCGAAAGCGUGGGGAGCGAACAGG
rnacentral:rRNA from 1 species